rnacentral:snRNA from 1 species
UUCGAUUCACUCGGCAAAAAGUUGCCUU